AUUGAACGCUGGCGGCAGGCUUAACACAUGCAAGUCGAGCGGAGAUGAGGUGCUUGCACCUUAUCUUAGCGGCGGACGGGUGAGUAAUGCUUAGGAACCUGCCUAUUAGUGGGGGACAACAUUCCGAAAGGAAUGCUAAUACCGCAUACGUCCUACGGGAGAAAGCAGGGGAUCUUCGGACCUUGCGCUAAUAGAUGAGCCUAAGUCGGAUUAGCUAGUUGGUGGGGUAAAGGCCUACCAAGGCGACGAUCUGUAGCGGGUCUGAGAGGAUGAUCCGCCACACUGGGACUGAGACACGGCCCAGACUCCUACGGGAGGCAGCAGUGGGGAAUAUUGGACAAUGGGGGGAACCCCGAUCCAGCCAUGCCGCGUGUGUGAAGAAGGCCUUAUGGUUGUAAAGCACUUUAAGCGAGGAGGAGGCUACUGAGACUAAUACUCUUGGAUAGUGGACGUUACUCGCAGAAUAAGCACCGGCUAACUCUGUGCCAGCCGCCGCAGUAAAAC
rnacentral:rRNA from 1 species